rnacentral:rRNA from 1 species
GACGAACGCUGGCGGCGUGCCUAAUACAUGCAAGUAGAACGCUGAAGGAGGAGCUUGCUUCUCUGGAUGAGUUGCGAACGGGUGAGUAACGCGUAGGUAACCUGCCUGGUAGCGGGGGAUAACUAUUGGAAACGAUAGCUAAUACCGCAUAAUAGCAGUUAUUGCAUGAUAACUGUUUGAAAGGUGCAAUUGCACCACUACCAGAUGGACCUGCGUUGUAUUAGCUAGUUGGUGGGGUAACGGCUCACCAAGGCGACGAUACAUAGCUGACCUGAGAGGGUGAUCGGCCACACUGGGACUGAGACACGGCCCAGACUCCUACGGGAGGCAGCAGUAGGGAAUCUUCGGCAAUGGACGGAAGUCUGACCGAGCAACGCCGCGUGAGUGAAGAAGGUUUUCGGAUCGUAAAGCUCUGUUGUAAGAGAAGAACGAGUGUGAGAGUGGAAAGUUCACACUGUGACGGUAUCUUACCAGAAAGGGACGGCUAACUACGUG